CGAACGGGUGAGUAAUACGUGAGUGACCUACCUUUGACUCUGGGAUAAGCCUGGGAAACUGGGUCUAAUACCGGAUACGACCAAUCUCUGCAUGGGGUGUUGGUGGAAAGCGUUAUGGAGUGGUUUUAGAUGGGCUCACGGCCUAUCAGCUUGUUGGUGAGGUAAUGGCUUACCAAGGCGACGACGGGUAGCCGGCCUGAGAGGGUGACCGGCCACACUGGGACUGAGACACGGCCCAG
rnacentral:rRNA from 1 species